UACGGAGGGUGCAAGCGUUAUCCGGAAUCACUGGGUUUAAAGGGUGCGUAGGCGGCUAAAUAAGUCAGAGGUGAAAGCUUGCAGCUUAACUGCGAAAUUGCCUUUGAUACUGUAUAGCUUGAAAGGAGCUGAGGUCAGCAGAAUGUGGCAUGUAGCGGUGAAAUGCAUAGAUAUGCCAUAGAAUACCAAUUGCGAAGGCAGCUGGCUGGGCUUACUUUGACGCUGAGACGCGAAAGCGUGGGGAGCAAACAGG
rnacentral:rRNA from 1 species